UACGUACUCCCUCCGUCCCAAAAAUCUUGUCUUAGAUUUGUCUAGAUAUGGAUGUAUCUAUUAGUGUUAGAUACAUCCGUAUGUAGACAAAUCUAAGACAAGAAUUUUGGGAAGGAGGAAGUACAUG
rfam:Triticum aestivum genome assembly, contig: Triticum_aestivum_CS42_TGACv1_scaffold_514126_6BS